rnacentral:SRP_RNA from 2 species
GCCGGGCAUGGCGAUGCGUGCCUGUAAUCCCAGCUACUCAGGAGGCUGAGGCAGAAGAAUCUCUUGAACCCGGGAGGCAGAGGUUGCAGUGUGCCAAGAUCAUGCCACUGCACUCCAGCCUGGGUGACAGAGCGAGACUCUGUCUCAA